rnacentral:rRNA from 1 species
GCUGACGCAGCAACGCCGCGUGGGUGAUGAAGGCCUUCGGGUCGUAAAGCCCUGUCAGGUGGGAAGAAAGGCCUGGAGAGGAAAGGUUUCAGGUUUGACGGUACCACCAGAGGAAGCACCGGCUAACUCCGUGCCAGCAGCCGCGGUAAUACGGAGGGUGCGAGCGUUAUUCGGAAUUACUGGGCGUAAAGCGCGUGUAGGCGGGGGGACAAGUCUGAUGUGAAAGNCCUGGGCUUAACCUGGGAAGCGCAUUGGAAACUGUUUUUCUUGAGUACUGGAGAGGAAGGGGGAAUUCCCGGUGUAGAGGUGAAAUUCGUAGAGAUCGGGAGGAAUACCAGUGGCGUAGGCGCCCUUCUGGACGGUAACUGACGCUGAGACGCGAAAGCGUGGGGAGCAAACAGGAUUAGAUACCCUGGUAGUCCACGCUGUAAACGAUGAUCACUAGGUGUAGCGGGUACUCAUUCCUGCUGUGCCGC